GGCCGUACAGGAAGAUAAUGCUGGCAAUUACGCCAAAGCCUUCCCUCUGUAUAUGAACGCCUUGGAGUACUUCAAAACUCAUUUGAAGUAUGAAAAGAAUCCCAAGAUCAAGGAAGCCAUUACCCAGAAAUUCACUGAGUAUCUGCGCCGUGCCGAGGAGAUACGUGCAGUUCUUGAUGAUGGUGGUCCUGGUCCAGCUUCCAAUGGUGAUGCAGCCGUGGCAACUAAGCCUAAGACGAAACCUAAGGAUGGAGA
rnacentral:misc_RNA from 1 species